CCAGCUUCUUCCUUCUCCGCUUCCUGCUCCGCCCAGACACUAACAAUCAGUCUCCCACUCCGGCUGCCACGGGCUCUUGCCUGGAACCCAACUCAAAGAGAGCGAGUCUGAGCUUGGCGGAGCAGCAGCUAUCUGAAGAGAGCGAGCAUCCUGUGGGAACAGGAAAGCUCUAAGCUUGACUGCUAUGGACAAAUAGGGCUGAAAGGGAGACACGAGGACCCAUUUCCAUGGGGUGGCCCCAUUCUUCUGCAUCCACCAACUGUCCCCACUGUGGCCACUCCAGUACUUGUGAAUGGAAUGGAGGUUUUUCUGUCCCUGGUGUCUGCAACCAGGCAAGAGAAACAUCCUUCACAUGCACCAGAAAACAGUGUUUAUCCAGCUAUCUGUGCACCCUGAGUCCAGCCAGGCUAAGAAAUGUUAUUGACCAUGGCGUCCAAAGGACAGCACAAGCCUUCCUCUCUGCUCUGGUGAGCCAGCCCUUGACUCCUUACCUGGGAAGUCAUGUCCCCUGGGACCAGCGGGAAGCAGUCUUUAAUCUCUCAGAAUAUGAUCUGGGGAAAUCAUCACCUCAGCUUCUGGUACGGGAAUCACCGUUCCUUGGAACUUACCAAGAGACAAGUCGGCUGCCCGAAGUGUACUCCUAUGAGGAGACCGUGAGGGAGGGAUGAUGUCAUAGAUUCAUCCUUGCCAGAGGCUUAGCUUAGGAAGGCUCUCAGUCCAUGCAGCAGCAGGGAGGCACCUAAGAAAAGUCUCAAGUGUUUGGAGAAGGUUAUAGAACAGUGUCCCUCCUCCUCCUCAAUGUCCUCCAGAAAUAAUUGGCACAUACCUGGCCAAAGGAACUAGAAUCUUCAGGCUUUUGCCUGGAGCUGAUCUGUGAACUAAGCCAGUCCUGGAUGUGAUGAUGGAAACAUCACAGACAAACAUUGCAGAGCUCCCUGGGUCAGAGACACCGUGGGAAGACUGGAGAUGUGUUUACCGAGUGGGAGCCAAACUCAAUUUGCUUUUUGUUGUUGUUUUUUGUUUUGUUUUCCAGCUUCACCCUCUAAUUUGAGUACAUUUCCCAUAGAACAUAGAGUUCAAUUUUAGAAUUUUCCAACAUGCACUCCUGAAUAAUUGGAGCCCAGAGACCCUUCUAGCUGACCUAAAGUCUGGCGUCUACAUGGGCAAGCCACCUGCCAGGGAACAAAUGACUCUUCAAGUCUCUUCCUACUGAACAGGUUUUUAGUUCUAGGAACUAUGCAGCUUAAAUCAAACCAUUUCUCCCCCUGAGACAGGGUUUCUCUCUAUAACCUUGGAGCCUGUCUUCAAACUCACCCUGUAGAUCAGGCUGGUCUUGAAUUCGCAGAGAUUCACCUGCUUCUGCCUCCUAAGAGCUGGGAUUAAAAGUGUGCAUCACCACUGCCCAGCCCAUUUUUUUUAAACUGUGGCUCAUGGCUUCAUUCUGUCAACAAGAUGUUUGUCAACAAAUUCACCCAUGCUGUUGGUAAUAGUAGCUCAUUCCUUUGUAUUUGAGUAGCAUUUGGGUUGUUUGUUUGUUUGUUUGUUUGUUUUGAAAUGGGGCUUCUCUGUGUUGCCCUGACUGUCCUAGAACUGCUCUGUAGAUCAGGCUGACCUUGAAUUUAGAGAUCUGCCUGCCUCUGUCUCCCAAGUACUAGGAUUAAAGGCAUGAGCCACCACUGCCUGGCUGGCAUCUGGGUUCUUUACAGUUUUUGCCUAAAAUAAAUACAACUGCACAUAAAGAUGAAUACCAAAAAAGAAAAAGACUAGGCAUGAUGCUACAUGUCCAUAA